rnacentral:rRNA from 1 species
GAUGAACGCUGGCGGCAGGCCUAACACAUGCAAGUCGGACGGUAGCACAGAGAGCUUGCUCUUGGGUGACGAGUGGCGGACGGGUGAGUAAUGUCUGGGGAUCUGCCCGAUAGAGGGGGAUAACCACUGGAAACGGUGGCUAAUACCGCAUAACGUCGCAAGACCAAAGAGGGGGACCUUCGGGCCUCUCACUAUCGGAUGAACCCAGAUGGGAUUAGCUAGUAGGCGGGGUAAUGGCCCACCUAGGCGACGAUCCCUAGCUGGUCUGAGAGGAUAACCAGCCACACGGGAACUGAGACACGGUGCAGACUCCUACGGGAGGCAGCAGUGGGGAAUAUUGCACAAUGGGCGCAAGCCUGAUGCAGCCAUGCCGCGUGUAUGAAGAAGGCCUUCGGGUUGUAAAGUACUUUCAGCGGGGAGGAAGGCGGUGCGGUUAAUAACCGUACCGAUUGACGUUACCCGCAGAAGAAGCACCGGCUAACUCCGUGCCAGCCGCCGCCGUAA